rnacentral:rRNA from 1 species
AUGAGCAGAGGUGGAAAAUUCAAAAGAAAUGAUAAGAAAGACCUUGCACAAUUUUUUAAGGUAGAAGUGAGGAGUAUACAGAGAGUUUGGCAGAAGGCGAUGGAGCAAAUUUCAGAAGGUGUAGAGGUGGAUGUUUCCGAUCAGAGAAAAGGAAACUCUGGAAGAAAGCCAAAGGACAUCAAUUUAGAGCAAAUCCCUACCAUCCCACUAAACAAGAGGUCCACUAUCAGAUCUCUAGCUUGGCAACUGGGAUGUAGCCCUACCACACUGCAUAGAAAGUUCAAGCUAAAUUUGAUAAAAAGGCACACAAACUGUGUGAAUCCAACUCUAAAGGAAAAGAAUAUGAAGGAUAGGAUGGAAUUUUGUAUGUCAAUGCUUGACGAGACAACGAUAGAAACUUCAAGGCCUAAAUUCAAGACGAUGCAUAAUGUUGUGCACAUUGAUGAGAAGUGGUUCAAUAUGAUGAAGAAAAAUAAGACCUACUAUCUGCUGGAUGGGGAGGAGGAGCCUACGAGACCCAUACAUGGCAACUGCAUUGGCAAGGUGAUGUUCUUAACGUCCGUUGCUAGGCCAAGGUGGGAUCGUGAAGGAAACGUGACCUUCUCUGGGAAAAUCGGUAUCUGGCCAUUUGUGAAAGAAGUUCCUGCUCAGAGGAGAAGUGAUAAUAGGCCCAGAGGUACAAUAGAGACAAAGUCAAUAAAGGUCGACAGAAAAGUGAUGAGGGAGUUCCUGAUAGAGAAGGUCUUGCCAGCGAUACAAGCAGUUUGGCCUGAAAGUGAUGCUGGACAGACCAUCUAUAUUCAGCAGGAUAAUGCUAAGCCCCAUAUCUUGCCAAAUGAGCCAGAAUUUCUAGUAGCUAUCGCAAAAACUGGACUUGACAUCAGAAUAAUACAGCAGCCCGCCAACAGUCCUGAUUUGAAUGUGCUUGACCUUGGGUUUUUCAACUCGCUUCAAUCCCUAACAGAUUGUCCGAGUCCUAAAACACUACAAGACCUUAUUAAUGGUGUUUUGGAGGAAUUUGAAGGCUAUGAGGUUUACAAGCUCAAUAGAAUUUUCCUAACUCUGCAAACGUGCAUGAUUGAGAUCCUGAACCAUGCAGGGGGUAAUGGGUAUAAAAUACCACAUGUGAACAAGGAAAGGCUCGAGGGUCUUGGG